GGGCUCGUAGUUCAGUGGUAGAACGUUCGAUUCACAUUCGAAAGGUCAGAGGUUCAAUCCCUCUCGAGCCCA
rnacentral:tRNA from 1 species